rnacentral:tRNA from 1 species
GGGCGGGUGGCGAAAUUGGUAGACGCGCUAGUUUUAGGAACUAGUUCCGUAAGGAAUGGAGGUUCGAGUCCUCUCCCGCCCACCA